AGGUAUGUAAAAUAGAUGUUACUGAAAUGAAAUUAUUAAAACAGGCCAAACAACAUUUUGUACUUGUCAGAUAUACCAUAUCCCAGUUGCAUACACAUAUUAGCAAUGUAAAAAUAUCUGGUUGUGUAUGAUAGAAAGUUUGGUAUUGAAGCCAAAGAUUUUAUUGAAAAAAAUCCACAUCCAUGAUGCAGUCUGUUUUCAGUGAUCAUUCCCACAAUGAGAUGCAACCUGAAGAAGUAUGUUUUGUUAUGUGAAAAUAACUUUUUUGUACAAAUACACAUAUAGUUUCUCAA